rnacentral:rRNA from 1 species
CAUUAUACCGCGAAACUGCGAAUGGCUCAUUAUAUAAGUUAUCGGUUAUUUGAUAAUACUUUACUACUUGGAUAACCGUGGUAAUUCUAGAGCUAAUACAUGCUAAAAAUCCCGACUUCGGAAGGGUUGUAUUUAUUAGAUUAAAAACCAAUGCCCCUCGGGGCUCUCUGGUGAAUCAUGAUAACUAGUCGAAUCGACAGGCCUUGUGCCGGCGAUGGCUCAUUCAAAUUUCUUCCCUAUCAACUUUCGAUGUUUGGGUAUUGGCCAAACAUGGUGGCAACGGGUAACGGAGGGUUAGGGCUCGACCCCGGAGAAGGAGCCUGAGAAACGGCUACUACAUCCAAGGAAGGCAGCAGGCG